rnacentral:tRNA from 1 species
AGCAAUGUGGCUCAGUUGGUAGACUGCUUAAGUAUCAUACAGGAAGCCUUGGGUUCAAUUCCCAGCCCUGGUU